rnacentral:lncRNA from 1 species
GGUAUGAUUUAAACUAUGCUUGAUUUUGCCUACUUGUUUUGUUAAUCCCAGUUAAAAUUACUCCCGUAUGUGUGGAGUGAACAGUUAGGUUUAUUCAGUUAGGAUUUGGAAUAAACUUGUUUCCCUCAGAAUGAAUUUAUAUGCAUUUUAGAUGAUAACUUUGAACCUUGAUUGAUUACCUGCACAAAUUGAAAUUGUUUCACGUAAAGUUUAUCUCCUUGUGCACUUGUUCACAUUAUAUAUUUGUUAUCACUAUCCUUUUUCACCAAAAUUUUAUGCCAUGUCCCUUUUGUCGAGGUUAACAAGUACUCCCUCCGUCCCAUAAUAAACGUCCUCUUUUUUUCAAGUUUUUUUCACGCAUUUCCAAGCUUAUAAAAAACAUACUUGUAGAUAUUAUUUUUUCGUGUUUUUUGUUUUGUAUAAAAAUAGGAAGUUCAAAUUUUAAUACAAAAUAAAAAAUACAAGAAAAUAAUGUCUACAAGUAUGCUUUUUAUAAGCUUGAAAAUGCGUGAAAAAAAUUUGAAAAAAUAAGAGGACGUUUAUUAUGGGACGGAGGGAGUAACAACUAGUCUAAAAAAGUUAGGGUUCGUUUUUUCAUAUAACAUAAUAGAUUAUUACCAUUUCCGUAUCCUUGUUAAAGAAAUCAUUACUUUGCUAAUACCACUGACACCUGGUAACUGACUACUAGCUAAUUCGUUUAAAUUACAAAAAAUAUUAAUUCUCUGUUGAAAAAUGAAUAGAUUAAAAUAAAAAAGAAGCAUUAAAUAUAUCCAUAAAAAUUUUGGAUUAUGUUAGAUAUAAAUGGAUAACAAUAGUAUUAAAGUUAAAUAUCACAUAGUACAUAAU